AGGUAGAACAAGUGAUUUUUGUCCACUGUUUGCAAAUUGGAAAUUGAAUCUGCAUCUGAAUUCAAAGAAAACGUUCGUUGUCCCCCGCCUUUCCGCCAUGCAUAACGCCUCAGUUUAUUCUUCCUUAUAUCAUGUAACCCAUAUCCAAUUAGAUUUCACGUCAACCAUCGUCUAGAACAGUAUAAAUAGAGUCAAUUCUUAACCGAACUCAACUAAUUUUCUUGACAAUCUAAAAAAAUGAAGUCGCUCAACCUUUCUUUUGUGAUCGUGGCUGUUCUUUUGCUGAUUGGCCAGACAAGUGUGGUGAAAGCGGUUCCGGUACCCUUGGAACCUUCCCCAAAACCUGUCAGUGGUCCUAAAAAAUAAUUCAAAUAAUUCCUAUCAAAUAGCAUAACAAUGAAAAUUAUUUGUUAAGAGCCCUAAUGGUGUAAAAUAUAAUUACUAUUCAUUGA